rnacentral:rRNA from 1 species
CCUACGGGAGGCAGCAGUGGGGGAUAUUGCACAAUGGGGGGAACCCUGAUGCAGCGACGCCGCGUGGGUGAAGGAGUGCUUCGGCAUGUAAAGCUCUAUCGGCAGGGAAGAAGCAAGACGGUACCUGACUAAGAAGCCCCGGCUAACUACGUGCCAGCAGCCGCGGUAAUACGUAGGGGGCGAGCGUUAUCCGGAUUCACUGGGUGUAAAGGGAGCGUAGACGGCAAUGCAAGCCAGGGGUGAAAUCCCGGGGCCCAACCCCGAGACUGCCCUUGAAACUGCAUGGCUGGAGUGCGGGAGGGGCAGGCGGAAUUCCUGGUGUAGCGGUGAAAUGCGUAGAUAUCAGGAGGAACACCGGCGGCGAAGGCGGCCUGCUGGACCGCGACUGACGUUGAGGCUCGAAAGCGUGGGGAGCAAACAGGAUUAGAUACCCCGGUAGUC